rnacentral:rRNA from 1 species
UCGAAACCUGCCCAGCAGAACCACCGGGGCACUUGUCACCGAAACACGGGGGAUGCAGGCUGGUCCUGCUCCUCCUCCGCGGCGCGGUCGGGGCUCCUGACGUGGCCCUCUACCGAGUAGGGGCACCGGCAGGAGAACCGGCCCUCCGUCCCAACAUCAUCCGGCGCGGAAUGCGUCAAGGAAUAAGAAUGUGAAAACACGCCCUCCGUUCGUGCUCGGUUAUCCGACGGAACGGAGCGGCCGUGUGUCGUAUUAACAAGAAUCCCGUGAACCAUCGAGUCUUUGAACGCAAGUUGCGCCCGAAGCCAUUUGGUCGAGGGCACGUCUGCCUGGGCGUCACGCAACACGUCGCACCCAAUGCCUUUGCACUCACAACGGGUGCCUCGGUCGUUUGGGGCGGGAAUUGGCCUCCGUGUGCCUGCAGGCGCGCGGUUGGCCUAAAGAGGGAGAUCAUGGCGACGAGGGCCACGGCGUUAGGUGGUUGGUUGUCCCGGGCUUUAUCCCGGGCACGGAUCACGCCGUGCGCCUUAGGCCGUCCGUGCUUCGGCUUUACGGAUAAAGAAGCCGCUCGUACGGCUUUACGGAU